CAGAGAGAUCUGCCCUGGAAAGGGUUGUGGGCCUGGGUCUGUUCCCAUUGCACACCUUGGGAGAGGACACAGAGAUCAACCACAGGGGUGGCAUGUCCAGUUCUGGGGCUUUAAUAGGAGGGAAUGCAUGAGAGAGAAUACAACAAAGGGGAGGAGGGCAGGGGAGCAGCCCUCACCCUGUGGUGCACAGUUCUGCAGAGGCUGAAAAGCAAAA